AGAGUUUGAUCCUGGCUCAGAUUGAACGCUGGCGGCAUGCCUUACACAUGCAAGUCGAACGGCAGCACGGGGGCAACCCUGGUGGCGAGUGGCGAACGGGUGAGUAAUAUAUCGGAACGUGCCCUGGAGUGGGGGAUAACUAGUCGAAAGAUUAGCUAAUACCGCAUACGAUCUACGGAUGAAAGUGGGGGACCCGCAAGGGCCUCAUGCUCCUGGAGCGGCCGAUAUCUGAUUAGCUAGUUGGUGAGGUAAAGGCUCACCAAGGCAUCGAUCAGUAGCUGGUCUGAGAGGACGACCAGCCACACUGGGACUGAGACACGGCCCAGACUCCUACGGGAGGCAGCAGUGGGGAAUUUUGGACAAUGGGCGCAAGCCUGAUCCAGCAAUGCCGCGUGAGUGAAGAAAGGCCUUCGGGUUGUAAAGCUCUUUUGUCAGGGAAGAAACGGUGAGGGCGAAUACCCCUUGCUAAUGACGGUACCUGAAGAAUAAGCACCGGGCUAACUACGUGCCAGCAGCC
rnacentral:rRNA from 1 species